rnacentral:rRNA from 1 species
AGAGUUUGAUCCUGGCUCAGGAUGAACGCUAGCUACAGGCUUAACACAUGCAAGUCGAGGGGCAGCAUGGUCUUAGCUUGCUAAGGCCGAUGGCGACCGGCGCACGGGUGAGUAACACGUAUCCAACCUGCCGUCUACUCUUGGACAGCCUUCUGAAAGGAAGAUUAAUACAAGAUGGCAUCAUGAGUCCGCAUGUUCACAUGAUUAAAGGUAUUCCGGUAGACGAUGGGGAUGCGUUCCAUUAGAUAGUAGGCGGGGUAACGGCCCACCUAGUCUUCGAUGGAUAGGGGUUCUGAGAGGAAGGUCCCCCACAUUGGAACUGAGACACGGUCCAAACUCCUACGGGAGGCAGCAGUGAGGAAUAUUGGUCAAUGGGCGCAGGCCUGAACCAGCCAAGUAGCGUGAAGGAUGACUGCCCUAUGGGUUGUAAACUUCUUUUAUAAAGGAAUAAAGUCGGGUAUGGAUACCCGUUUGCAUGUACUUUAUGAAUAAGGAUCGGCUAACUCCGUGCCAGCAGCCGCGGUAAUACGGAGGAUCCGAGCGUUAUCCGGAUUUAUUGGGUUUAAAGGGAGCGUAGAUGGAUGUUUAAGUCAGUUGUGAAAGUUUGCGGCUCAACCGUAAAAUUGCAGUUGAUACUGGAUAUCUUGAGUGCAGUUGAGGCAGGCGGAAUUCGUGGUGUAGCGGUGAAAUGCUUAGAUAUCACGAAGAACUCCGAUUGCGAAGGCAGCCUGCUAAGCUGCAACUGACAUUGAGGCUCGAAAGUGUGGGUAUCAAACAGGAUUAGAUACCCUGGUAGUCCACACGGUAAACGAUGAAUACUCGCUGUUUGCGAUAUACAGCAAGCGGCCAAGCGAAAGCGUUAAGUAUUCCACCUGGGGAGUACGCCGGCAACGGUGAAACUCAAAGGAAUUGACGGGGGCCCGCACAAGCGGAGGAACAUGUGGUUUAAUUCGAUGAUACGCGAGGAACCUUACCCGGGCUUAAAUUGCAGAUGAAUUACGGUGAAAGCCGUAAGCCGCAAGGCAUCUGUGAAGGUGCUGCAUGGUUGUCGUCAGCUCGUGCCGUGAGGUGUCGGCUUAAGUGCCAUAACGAGCGCAACCCUUGUUGUCAGUUACUAACAGGUUCCGCUGAGGACUCUGACAAGACUGCCAUCGUAAGAUGUGAGGAAGGUGGGGAUGACGUCAAAUCAGCACGGCCCUUACGUCCGGGGCUACACACGUGUUACAAUGGGGGGUACAGAGGGCCGCUACCACGCGAGUGGAUGCCAAUCCCAAAAACCUCUCUCAGUUCGGACUGGAGUCUGCAACCCGACUCCACGAAGCUGGAUUCGCUAGUAAUCGCGCAUCAGCCACGGCGCGGUGAAUACGUUCCCGGGCCUUGUACACACCGCCCGUCAAGCCAUGAAAGCCGGGGGUACCUGAAGUGCGUAACCGCAAGGAGCGUCCUAGGGUAAAACUGGUAAUUGGGGCUAAGUCGUAACAAGGUAGCCGUACCGGAAGGUGCGGCUG